rnacentral:lncRNA from 1 species
CAUAUUCCUGGGAAUUUUUCCUAUUACUUAAUAGCAUGGAAUGGUAUGGAUGAUUUUAAAGGAGGUGCCUAAACAGGACCAACAUUCCUUCUUUAGGAAAAUACUGGCCCUACCUGCAAAUUCAGCAAGUAGAAGAGGAAUGAAUAUCAUAUGGACAGAGAUUAAAGCAUGUUCUCUUGAAAACAUUGAUUUUCAAAGUGGGAUCAACUGCAUGAGAAGUAACAGAUGCUUGUUAAAAAUGCAAAUUGUUCUUCCCUGCCUCACACCUCUUGCAUCACAAUCUCAAGAAAUGGAAUACACGGGCCUGCAAAUUUUAAUAAAACUACCAAUAUAAUUAACAAAUGUCAUCAACUCACUGCUUUAUGAGUUAGAAGAGGAAUCCCAGAAGCUAAGCUCAAAGCUGUUACCGCCUCUCUUGCUAGCAGAGAAAUACUUACCCCUCCCACACCAAUUAUCUCUCACUUCAUAUGUUAAGACUGUACUGACUUUUUAAAC